UACGGAGGGUGCGAGCGUUGUCCGGAAUCAUUGGGCGUAAAGGGUGCGUAGGCGGCGCGGAAAGUGGGGUGUGAAAGCCCUCGGCUCAACCGAGGAACUGCGCUCCAAACUACCGUGCUCGAGUGAGACAGAGGUAAGCGGAACUUCGGGUGGAACGGUGAAAUGUGUUGAUAUCCGAAGGAACACCGGUGGCGAAAGCGGCUUACUGGGUCUCAACUGACGCUGAUGCACGAAAGCCAGGGUAGCAAACGGG
rnacentral:rRNA from 1 species